CCGGCAGUACCGAGAUGGAAAUGUUGAGGCAGUGAUCCGCGCCAGGAGCUGCUACCGGCAGCACGUAGCCCAGGACUGAGCGGCAAAGGUGGCAAACCUACGGAUGGUGUGUGGAGAGAAGGUGGGCAGUCGCGUUCUGUUGGGAUCCUGCCUUCCAAGGCUUCACUCAGUACAUCGCAGAGCUCAGAACAGAGCGGCUGCGCCUGGCGUAUCCCCAAUAACAGCAGGCGGAAGCGACUCUGGAGGGCAGCUUGGAGAUGU